CACAAUAGAGGAAUGAGGGCAAAAUAUAUGUGAAAGCUACAAUUCCCUCUUCUCAGAGUAAGGUGAUGCACUGAUUCCUACAGAGGUCCAGUCCUGUCCUCUACAUACCCAGAGGAAUUGAAUACUGGCAGCAUAAGCAGCAUCUGCUGUCACAUCAGAUACGGCUUUCUGCACAUGGAGAAACUAACUAGAGUGGACAACACAGCUGCAUUUUAUUCCCAAUUUGGCUAUUGAGAUCCUGGCUGCAGGAUCUUGGGUGUCUCACUUCACAUAAUCAUUGGCAUGACAUGUGGCAUGCUACUUGGAGACUCUGAAGACCUAGAAUCUUCAGCUCAGACUCCAGAUGAGCUCAGCUUUCCAAAAUCAGUUCUACCAACUCCUACCCUCCGGUACCAGGAUGAUCAGCAUAGCUGAAGGAUGUCACAAAAUUAUGAGAAACAGAGUCUGACUCUGUCACUCAUGUUGGACUGUAGUGGCACUAUCAUGGCUCAUUGUGGCCUCAAACUCCUGGGCUCAGGGGAUCCUGCUGCCUCGGCCUCCCAGAGUAGCCAGGACCACAGGGACAUGGAUGAAUCUGGAGAACAUCAUCCUCAGCAAACUGACACAAGAACAGAAAAUGAAACACCGCAUGUUCUCACUCAUAGGUGGGUGAUGAAAAAUGAGAACACAUGGACACAGAAAGGGGAGUACUAAACACUGGGGUCUGUUGGGGGGGAAAAGGGGAGGGCCAGUGGGAGGGGGAGGUGGGGAGGGAUAGCCUGGGGAGAAAUGCCAAAUGUGGGUGAAGGGGAGAAGAAAAGCAAAGCACACUGCCAUGUGUGUACCUACGCAACUGUCUUGCAUGCUCUGCUCAUGUACCCCAAAACCUAUAAUCCAAUAAAAAAUAAAAAAAAAAUAAAAAAAACUAGUGC
rnacentral:lncRNA from 13 species